rnacentral:rRNA from 1 species
AGUAACGGCGAGUGAAGCGGCAACAGCUCAAAUUUGAAAUCUGGCCCCUCCGGGCCCGAGUUGUAGUUUGCAGAGGAUGCUUUUGGCGAGGCGCCGCCCGAGUUCCCUGGAACGGGACGCCACAGAGGGUGAGAGCCCCGUCUGGCUGGCCGCCGAGCCUCUGUAAAGCUCCUUCGACGAGUCGAGUAGUUUGGGAAUGCUGCUCAAAAUGGGAGGUAUAUGUCUUCUAAAGCUAAAUACUGGCCAGAGACCGAUAGCGCACAAGUAGAGUGAUCGAAAGAUGAAAAGCACCUUGAAAAGAGGGUUAAACAGUACGUGAAAUUGUUGAAAGGGAAGCGCUCGCGACCAGACUUGGCCGCGGCGGAUCAUCCGGGGUUCUCCCCGGUGCACUUCGCCGCGUCCAGGCCAGCAUCAGUUCGCCGCGGGGGACAAAGGCGUCGGGAACGUGGCUCCCCCGGGAGUGUUAUAGCCCGUCGCGCAAUACCCUGCGGUGGACUGAGGACCGCGCAUCUGCAAGGAUGCUGGCGUAAUGGUCACCAGCGACCCGUCUUGAAACACGGACCAAGGAGUCGUCUUCGUAUGCGAGUGUUCGGGUGUCAAACCCCUACGCGGAAUGAAAGUGAACGCAGGUGAGAGCUUCGGCGCAUCAUCGACCGAUCCUGAUGUUCU